AUUGAACGCUGGCGGCAUGCCUUACACAUGCAAGUCGAACGGUAACAGGUUAAGCUGACGAGUGGCGAACGGGUGAGUAAUGUAUCGGAACGUGCCCAGUCGUGGGGGAUAACUGCUCGAAAGAGCAGCUAAUACCGCAUACGACCUGAGGGUGAAAGCGGGGGAUCGCAAGACCUCGCGCGAUUGGAGCGGCCGAUAUCAGAUUAGGUGGUUGGUGAGGUAAAGGCUCACCAAGCCGACGAUCUGUAGCUGGUCUGAAAGGACGACCAGCCACACUGGGACUGAGACACGGCCCAGACUCCUACGGGAGGCAGCAGUGGGGAAUUUUGGACAAUGGGCGCAAGCCUGGUCCAGCCAUGCCGCGUGCGGGAAGAAGGCCUUCCGGUUGGAAACCGCUUUUGUCAGGGAAGAAAAGGUUCUGGCUAAUACCUGGGACUCAUGACGGUACCUGAAGAAUAAGCACCGGCUAACUACGUG
rnacentral:rRNA from 1 species